rnacentral:RNase_P_RNA from 2 species
GGAGUCGGCCAGGCAGUCGCGUCACCGGAAACGGUGCCGAGGAAAGAAACGGUGCCGAGGAAAGUCCGGGCUCCACAGGGCACGGUGCCAGGUAACGCCUGGGCGGCGAGAGCCGACGGAAAGUGCAACAGAAAGAUACCGCCGAUGGCCCUGUCACCCCUUUGCCGCCGAUGGCCGGAGCGGCCAUCUCCCGGACUUGCCGGCGUCGCCGAGCAAGUCCUUCGCGGAGACGGCAAAGCAACAGACCGGCACGGCAAACCCCACCGGGAGCAAGACCAAAUAGGGAGACGAUGAGGCGGCCCGCCGAGUCUCCGGGUAGGUUGCUUGAGCGUAGCGGCGACGCUGCGCCUAGAGGAAUGACUGCCGCGGCGCGCAAGCGUCGAACAGAACCCGGCUUAUCGGCCGGCUCCGCCA